UACAGAGGGGGCCAGCGUUAUUCGGAAUUACUGGGCGUAAAGGGCGCGUAGGCGGCCUUCUAAGUCGAACGUGAAAUCCCCGGGCUCAACCCGGGAACUGCGUCCGAUACUGGAAGGCUUGAAUCCGGGAGAGGGAUGUGGAAUUCCAGGUGUAGCGGUGAAAUGCGUAGAUAUCUGGAGGAACACCGGUGGCGAAGGCGACAUCCUGGACCGGUAUUGACGCUGAGGCGCGAAAGCCAGGG
rnacentral:rRNA from 1 species